rnacentral:rRNA from 1 species
AGGGCACCACCAGGAGUGGAGCCUGCGGCUUAAUUUGACUCAACACGGGAAGACUCACCCGGCCCGGACACUGGAAGGAUUGACAGAUUGAGAGCUCUUUCUUGAUUCAGUGGGUGGUGGUGCAUGGCCGUUCUUAGUUGGUGGAGUGAUUUGUCUGGUUAAUUCCGAUAACGAACGAGACUCUAGCCUAUUAAAUAGAUCGUUGGCUUACAAACGCCGGCGAGACUUCUUAGAGGGACAGGCGGCGAUUCAGCCGCACGAAACAGAGCAAUAACAGGUCUGUGAUGCCCUUAGAUGUCCGGGGCCGCACGCGCGCUACACUGAAGUGAUCAGCGUGCAUUUUGAAACCUACUCUGUCAAGAGUGGGGAACCCAAUGAACCUUCUUCGUGAUUGGGAUAGGGGAUUGUAAUUAUUCCCCUUGAACGAGGAAUUCCCAGUAAGCGCGAAUCAUAAGUUUGCGCUGAUUACGUCCCUGCCCUUUGUACACACCGCCCGUCGCUACUACCGAUUGAAUGUUU